AGAGUUUGAUCCUGGCUCAGAUUGAACGCUGGCGGCAUGCCUUACACAUGCAAGUCGAACGGCAGCACGGGAGCAAUCCUGGUGGCGAGUGGCGAACGGGUGAGUAAUGUAUCGGAACGUACCUUUCAGUGGGGGAUAACGUAGCGAAAGUUACGCUAAUACCGCAUAUUCUGUGAGCAGGAAAGCAGGGGAUCGCAAGACCUUGCGCUGAUUGAGCGGCCGAUAUCAGAUUAGCUAGUUGGUGAGGUAAAGGCUCACCAAGGCGACGAUCUGUAGCGGGUCUGAGAGGAUGAUCCGCCACACUGGAACUGAGACACGGUCCAGACUCCUACGGGAGGCAGCAGUGGGGAAUUUUGGACAAUGGGGGCAACCCUGAUCCAGCCAUGCCGCGUGAGUGAAGAAGGCC
rnacentral:rRNA from 1 species